rnacentral:rRNA from 1 species
GGUUCGAUCAUGGCUCAGAUUGAACGCUGGCGGGAUGCUUUAUACAUGCAAGUCGAACGGCAGCACGGACUUCGGUCUGGUGGCGAGUAUGAACGGGUGAGUAAUGUAUCGAACGUGCCUAGUAGCGGGGAUAACUACGCGAAAGCGGAAGCACACUGCAUACGGCCCUUCGGGGAAAGCGGGUGGACCUUCGGGCCUCGCAAUAUGCCGAGCGGCUGAUAUCGGAUUAGCUAGUUAUGGGGUAACGGCUCACCGCGAUUGGACCUGUAGCUGGUUUGAGAGGACGACCAGCCACACUGGGACUGAGACACGGCCCAGACUUACGGGAGGCAGCAGUGGGGAAUUUUGACAAUGGGAAACUGAUCCAGCCAUCCGGCGUGUGCGAUGAAGGCCUUCGCUGUAAAGCACUUUUGGCAGGAAGAAACGGUACGGGAUAAUACCCGUGCAACUGACGGUACCUGCAGAAUAAGCACCGCCAAUCAGAUGUGCCAGCAGCCGCGGUAAUAAUGGUGGGUGCGUUAAUCGGAAUUACUGGGCGUAAAGCGGUGCAGGCGGUUCGGAAAGAAAGAUGUGAAAUCCCAGAGCUUAACUUUGAACUGCAUUUUUAACUACUGAGCUAGAGGUGUCAGAGGGAGGUGGAAUCUCCGCGUAGCAGUGAAUGCGGAUAUGCGGAGGAACACCGAUGGCGAAGGCAGCCUCCUGGGAUAACACUGACGCUCAUGCACGAAGUGAGCAAACAGGAUUAGAUACCCUGGUAGUCCACGCCCUAAACGAUGUCAACUAGCUGUUGGGGCCUUCGCCUUGGUGGCGCAGCCAAUCGCGUGAAGUUGACCGUCAGAGUACGACGCAGAUUAAACUCAAAGGAAUUGACGGGACCCGCACAAGCGGUGGAUGAUGGAUUAAUUGAUGCAACGCGAAAACCUUACCUACCCUUGACAUUGCCUGGAAUCCCGCAGAUUUGGGAGUGUCGGCAGAGAAUCCGGGACGACAGGGUGCCAUACGCCGCUGGUCUGUGUCGAGAUGUUGGGUUAAGUCCCGGCAACGAGGCGGCAUCCCUGUUUGCCAUUAGCAUGAAAGCGGCACCUGACGAGACUCUGCCGGUGACAAACCGGAGGAAGGUGGGGAUGACGUCAAGUCCUCAAUGGCCUGGCGGCAGGGCUUCACACGUCAUACAAUGGCUGUAUUAGGAUAGUCGCCAACCCGCGAGGGGGAGCCAUCCCAGAAACCCGAUCGUAGUCCGGAUCGCAGUCUGCAACUCGACUGCGUGAAGUCGGAAUCGCUAGUAACGACCAGCAUGUCGGGUGAACAUGCCCCCGGCCUGUACACCGCCCACGACCAUGGAGGAGCCACCAGAAGUAGUUAGCCUAACCGUAAGGAGGGCGAUUACCACGGUAGGAUUCAUGACUGGGGUAGAAGUCGUAACAAGGUAG